GGAUCGAUGAUGAUUUCCAUUAAAACAUUCCUUGGAAAGCUGAACAAAAUGAGUGAAAACUCAAUACCGCCACAAUCAUCGUGACUGAGGUCC
ensembl:snoRNA SNORD116 Small nucleolar RNA SNORD116